CGUUAUAGAUGAGCAUUUCUCAACCUUUUUCGUGAUUUGGCUUCCCUUGGACAUUGAAAAAAUUUAUUUCGGCUCCCCUGUGUUGAUGAAAAAUUUAAUCCAGCUUCCCAUGUAUCUGAGAUAGACCGGCCGGCCCAUGAUAAAUCUGACAAAAGGGGGGACCCGCAGAACUACCAGCUCACGAACUGCAUCUGAAAGUUGGCGCGCCAAUCAUGCUGCUAAGGAAUUUAGAUGCUCCAAUAAUGUGCAAUGGUACGCGGAUGAUUAUUAAAAAAUUGUGCUCCUGAGUUCUGUAGGCAACAAUCUUGAACGAACCGACCGCUGGCUAAGACAUACUUAUAACUCCCAUGUCCCUUACCCACUCCGAUACGACCUACAAGUUUAAACAGAUGCAAUUUCCCAUCAAACUGCUUUCCCAUGACACUCAACAAGGCGCAGGGACAAUCAGUGCAAGCGGUUGGUUUGUAUCUGACAGAGCAAGUAUUCUCACACGCACAACUGUACGUUGGCUGUCCCAUGGUCUUUCUAUUUGUGCACCCGAGGGAAGGACGAAGAAUGUUGUCUACCAAGAUAACAAUGAUAACAACAGCAACUGCUCCAAUUUCAACUCCGCAAUUUUUUCAUCGUCCUGCUAGCCCACCUGGACAUGUUUCCAUGGAAGACUGGAAAUGAGUGGCACCACUUGUAUGACUGAUGCUCUUUACAACUAUCAUGUAAUGUCCAGGACUUGAAGGAACAAUCUUAGAGAUAAUUAACUGCAAUUCCUAACAGACCAAACAACCAUACAGAAGAAGGGUUGGUAAGGAGGGUGGGCAAUUCCUCACUUAUUGUCAAAAUGUCUUCAAAUAUCCAGUCACUCACUAAUGAACUCUUUAAAAAUCAACAUGUACAGAAAAUAAUAUUUGGCAAUCUUUCGAUACCAGUCCGAAAUAUCGGCCUUUUCUAUAAAAAGUGUCUUCAGUGAUCUU